rnacentral:lncRNA from 1 species
GUGGCGUGGCGUAGCGUGGCUCGACGUGACGUGACGGGCGACCGGCAAAGCGGCGAAGUAGGGAGGAGACGCCGCGGGCAGCAAGGAGCACGGGCAGUGGAAGCUGGCUCUAAGAGCUCCUCCUCUGCUGCGGCCGUCGCUACGGGCCGAAAAGGAGAACGGAAAGAAGGGAGGGAGCUACCCAGAUUCUCAGGGCUGUGUGCUAACACGGAAAGGAGGGGGCGGGAGGAGUUGGCUGCUUCCAAUAGAGCCCACUCUGGGGCUGGACAAGCACCCCGCCUUCUGAUCCUCCUCCCUCUGCUUUCCUCCUCCCACCUCUUACCCCUAGCCCGAGGCCUGACCCUGAAACCUUCCCAAGCUUGGACUCUAUCGUGGGGCUCCAGACUCCACCCCGAGUCCAAAGUUUUCCAGCAGCCGAUGAUGGCAGAUUUUUUUAAAAGGGCAUCUCAAACCGGAAGGGGUUAUAAUGUGCAAGAAGUAGCCACUAAGUUGUUUUGUGGUGAUGUGUGUUCAAAGGCACAUCUGACUCUUCAUGAUCUUAUUUGGAGUUUUCUUGGCAAGAAUCCUAGAGUGCCUUCUCCAGAUCAUUUUAUAGAUGAGGAAAUGAAACAAACUGGGUUAAGUGCCUUGCUCACACAGCUAGUAAAUGUCUGAGUCCAGAUUUGACUUCAGGAAGAUGAAUCUUCCUGACUUGGGCCUAGCACUCUAUCCACUGUGCCACUUGCUAUUUAGUUACAACUAUGCAACUACUUAGGGACUGAUGGGUCUGCUUCCAAGAUGAACAAUGAAAUUCAAGGUGAACAAGUUAUUACUGUUUGUAUAUGAAGACAGGUAGAGACAAAAGCUUAGUCUUUUGCACUCUCUUGGGUUUGGACUUCUAAAACAAGAUGUGGCAAUGGAAAGCACAGGAACUCUGCCUCAAUCUUUUUGUUGAAGUAAAGAAAAUGAAUCCUUUGUUGUGAAUGUGAGAGAUGGAAGAGGAGUUCCAUGUGAGAAAAGAAAAGAGAGGUCUAGAUUAGAUGGCUGCUAAGGUCCCUUCCAACUCUGAAAUUUUGUGCUUCUGAAGAGCUACUAUGGAGAAUGAUAUAAGGAACCCAUGAGGAAAGAAUUGAGUUUGUUGGUUGAGUAUCAUCAAGGUCCAAGAUGAGACCUGAAGAAAACAUUUAUUUAAAAUAAAAAAUAAACUCUUAAUCCUUUGUUAGUUCA